rnacentral:rRNA from 1 species
GACUACCCCCUGAAUUUAAGCAUAUUAAUGAGGGAAGGAAAAGAAACUAACAAGGAUUUCCUUAGUAGCGGCGAGCGAAAAGGAAAAAGUCCAGCACUAAGGGAUUUUGUUUUUAACAAAUAUCCGAUGCAGUGUAAGGAGUGUCUAUUAUCUAGUAUGACAAAUUAACCGUUUAAGUCCUUCUUAAACGAGGCCAUUUACCCAUAGAGGGUGCUAGGCCCGUGUAGCGUUAAUGAUUACUAGAAGACAUUUCCAUAGAGUCGUGUUGCUUGAUAGUGCAGCACUAAGUGGGUGGUAAACUCCAUCUAAGACUAAAUAUAACCAUGAGACCGAUAGCAAACAAGUACCGUGAGGGAAAGUUGAAAAGAACUCUGAAUAGAGAGUUAAAUAGUACGUGAAACUGCUUAGAGGUUAAACCCGAUGAACCUGAAUAUCCGUUGUGGAAAAUUCAUCAUCAAUUGUAUAAUAUUUUUUUUUAAAUAUUAUAUGAAUGGUGUGCACUUUUUCCACUUAAGGACAUUGUAAUCUAUUAAUGUUUAAAUGCGUAUUAUAAGAACAUUGACAAUAGUUUAUGUGUUAUUUAAUUUAUUAAAUUCAUAUAAAUGUUUAUGCUUCGAAUAUGCCAUUGAUAGAUUUUCCAUAUAUUGUACUUAAAUCUUUUGAUUUUAUAAUAAUAUAAUUAUCAUUGAUUGUUGUAUUUAUUAUAUGUACAUAUAUGAUUGACAAUGCGAAAGAUUCAGGAUACCUUCGGGACCCGUCUUGAAACACGGACCAAGGAGUC